rnacentral:rRNA from 1 species
UGAGGAAUAUUGGACAAUGGGCGAGAGCCUGAUCCAGCCAUGCCGCGUGCAGGAAGACGGCCCUAUGGGUUGUAAACUGCUUUUAUACGGGAAGAAACACCCCCUCGUGAGGGGGCUUGACGGUACCGUAAGAAUAAGGAUCGGCUAACUCCGUGCCAGCAGCCGCGGUAAUACGGAGGAUCCAAGCGUUAUCCGGAAUCAUUGGGUUUAAAGGGUCCGUAGGUGGACGGUUAAGUCAGAGGUGAAAUCCUGCAGCUCAACUGUAGAAUUGCCUUUGAUACUGGUCGUCUUGAGUCGUUGUGAAGUGGUUGGAAUAUGUAGUGUAGCGGUGAAAUGCAUAGAUAUUACAUAGAACACCGAUUGCGAAGGCAGAUCACUAACAACGUACUGACACUGAUGGACGAAAGCGGUGGGGAGCGAACGAGGAUAGAUACCCUGGUACGUCCACGACCGUAAACGA